UUUGCAAAGAUUAGUACGUUUUGAAAUGCGUCAAAACUUUUAAUAAAUUAUAUAAAUUUUGUUGUUAAAACAUUUAUUAUACAAUUACUUCAGAAACUGCCACAAAAUGAAGGUCUUUAUCUUAGUAUUAGUGACCUUAUCGGCUAAUUUAGUGUCAUUGGCAAACGCACGUGAAGACUCUGAAAUAACUGACUUGCGAUCGAUUGAACCAAUUCAUUCUGAGUGUCAGGAUGCUCUCAAAUCUAAAUUGAUACCACUCUUGGACUCUGUUUUAGCAGUUUUGCCUGCAUUAGGACGUCUCAACGAUGCUCUUGGGGAUGCUGCCUUUAAACAAAUUUUAAAUUAUAUCAUGACUCACACGCAAUCGAAUAUUGUGACACAGUAUUUGGCUGUUGUUGGAUAUACCAUAGUCGGUAAAAAAGAACCCACGCUGGAUUAUUAUAAAGAUUUUAUUUCGGAUUUAGUGAGCAUAACUAUAGAUCAAGUAUGCUAUCUUAUCAUUGAAAAUCCUUCAAAUUUGUUGCCGUCACCAGUAUCAUAAAUUGUUUUAACAUAAAAUGUGAUGUAGUUCGCCAUCUGUUAAUAAAAUUUUGAGUUGUGUAGUA